GUUUGAUCCUGGCUCAGGAUGAACGCUGGCGGCGUGCCUAAUACAUGCAAGUCGAACGCUUCACUUCGGUGAAGAGUGGCGAACGGGUGAGUAAUACAUAAGUAACCUGGCAUCUACAGGGGGAUAACUGAUGGAAACGUCAGCUAAGACCGCAUAGGUGUAGAGAUCGCAUGAACUCUAUAUGAAAAGUGCUACGGGACUGGUAGAUGAUGGACUUAUGGCGCAUUAGCUUGUUGGUAGGGUAACGGCCUACCAAGGCGACGAUGCGUAGCCGACCUGAGAGGGUGACCGGCCACACUGGGACUGAGACACGGCCCAGACUCCUACGGGAGGCAGCAGUAGGGAAUUUUCGGCAAUGGGGGAAACCCUGACCGAGCAACGCCGCGUGAAGGAAGAAGUAAUUCGUUAUGUAAACUUCUGUCAUAGAGGAAGAACGGUGGAUAUAGGGAAUGAUAUCCAAGUGACGGUACUCUAUAAGAAAGCCACGGCUAACUACGUGCCAGCAGCCGCGGUAAUACGUAGGUGGCGAGCGUUAUCCGGAAUUAUUGGGCGUAAAGAGGGAGCAGGCGGCACUAAGGGUCUGUGGUGAAAGAUCGAAGCUUAACUUCGGUAAGCCAUGGAAACCGUAGAGCUAGAGUGUGUGAGAGGAUCGUGGAAUUCCAUGUGUAGCGGUGAAAUGCGUAGAUAUAUGGAGGAACACCAGUGGCGAAGGCGACGAUCUGGCGCAUAACUGACGCUCAGUCCCGAAAGCGUGGGGAGCAAAUAGGAUUAGAUACCCUAGUAGUCCACGCCGUAAACGAUGAGUACUAAGUGUUGGGUGUCAAAGCUCAGUGCUGCAGUUAACGCAAUAAGUACUCCGCCUGAGUAGUACGUUCGCAAGAAUGAAACUCAAAGGAAUUGACGGGGG
rnacentral:rRNA from 1 species